UCCGUAGGUGAACCUGCGGAAGGAUCAUUAGUGAAUCUAGGACGUCCAACUUAACUUGGAGUCCGAACUCUCACUUUCUAACCCUGUGCAUCUGUUUUAAAAUUGGCUAGUAGCUCUUCGGAGCGAACCACCAUUUUUCACUUAUACAAACACAAAGUCUAUGAAUGUAAACAAAUUUAUAACAAAACAAAACUUUCAACAACGGAUCUCUUGGCUCUCGCAUCGAUGAAGAACGCAGCGAAAUGCGAUACGUAAUGUGAAUUGCAGAAUUCAGUGAAUCAUCGAAUCUUUGAACGCACCUUGCGCUCCUUGGUAUUCCGAGGAGCAUGCCUGUUUGAGUGUCAUGAAAUCUUCAACCCACCUCUUUCUUAGUGAAUCUGGUGGUGCUUGGUUUCUGAGCGCUGCUCUGCUUCGGCUUAGCUCGUUCGUAAUGCAUUAGCAUCCGCAACCGAAACUUCGGAUUGACUUGGCGUAAUAGACUAUUCGCUGAGGAUUCCAGACUUGUUCUGGAGCCGAGUUGGGUUAAAGGAAGCUUCUAAUCCUAAAGUCUAUUUUUUGAUUAGAUCUCAAAUCAGGUAGGACUACCCGCUGAACUUAAGCAUAUCAAUAAGCGGAGGA
rnacentral:rRNA from 1 species